UUGAAGUUGACUCGGGUUGUAGCUGGCCUCUUGAGGCAUGUGCACACCUUGAUCGCACAUCCACAUCUCACACCUGUGCACAACCUGUAGCUUGGGAUGAUUACAAUGCUGGGAACAGUGUUGAAAGCCCUUGCUAUGAAAUUUUACACACACAUAUUAAAAGUUAUAGAAUGUUAUAUAGCGUGUAACAGCGCAAAUAAAUAUA
rnacentral:misc_RNA from 1 species